UACGAAGGGGGCUAGCGUUGUUCGGAUUUACUGGGCGUAAAGCGCACGUAGGCGGAUCGUUAAGUCGGGGGUGAAAUCCUGGAGCUCAACUCCAGAACUGCCUUCGAUACUGGCGAUCUUGAGUCCGGAAGAGGUGAGUGGAACUCCUAGUGUAGAGGUGGAAUUCGUAGAUAUUAGGAAGAACACCAGUGGCGAAGGCGGCUCACUGGUCCAUAACUGACGCUGAGGUGCGAAAGCGUGGGGAGCAAACAGG
rnacentral:rRNA from 1 species